rnacentral:tRNA from 1 species
GGGCGGUUAGCUCAGGGGUAGAGCACUGCCUUCACACGGCAGGGGUCGCAGGUUCGAAACCCGCACCGCCCA